rnacentral:ncRNA from 1 species
AUCUUCAGGGCGGGGUGCGAUUCCCCACCGGCGGUAAAGUCCGCGAGCGCCUGCGCGCAGAAUCGGUGUAAUUCCGAUACCGACAGUAUAGUCUGGAUGGAAGAAGAU